CUUCACAGCAGAACAGGAGGAGGAGGGGUGCCGGGCCAGCAGCAGGGCUUCACACCUGCGCAGGUUGGCCUGGAGCUCCCCAGCCUCCCCAGACUGGACCACCCAUCAGAAAAGAUACUGCAGUCCCACAUGGUGAGGCCCGGAUCCCUCCUUUCUGGCUGGAAUCGUCCUGGGGCCAGAUGAGAUCCGAGGAAGGCUGUGAGCUGUGGUAGGCACUGUGCCAUCCAGAAACAGGGGAGCUGAGGAGGCCCAAUUGGGCUGGAAAGACCCCAGUCUGUUUGGGUCUGAGGCCUCACCUGUAACAGGUCCUCCAACUGCAAGGAGGGGUGAUGCCCUCAAGUUGGCGACCAAGGGGUUACUUCUGGAGAAAGCCCAGAGCUGCAGGAAGUGGCCAGACACCUGCUCCACUGUUGCCAGCUGGGACCCCGCAGGAUUUUCUGUACCUCCCCAGGCAAGC